GUACUGGACACUGUAUGCUGGUUGCCCUAGUACUUUCUGCCUCUUCCCUCAAUAACACAGCCUUGUGAUGGCUGCAAAGGUGAUGGUUCAUCCCUGCACUGGUGAGAUGACCCAACACUCUCCCCCUGCUAACUUCCUUCCCACAAAGUUUGCACUUUGCAAAGCGACCAUCUCCAACACUUUCAAAGUGAUCCCAAACUUUGCUGCGGCGCAAUACAUUGGCAC
rnacentral:lncRNA from 1 species